ACUCCUACGGGAGGCAGCAGUGGGGAAUAUUGGACAAUGGGCGAAAGCCUGAUCCAGCAAUGCCGCGUGAGUGAUGAAGGCCCUAGGGGUUGUAAAGCUCUUUUACCCGGGAUGAUAAUGACAGUACCGGGAGAAUAAGCCCCGGCUAACUCCGUGCCAGCAGCCGCGGUAAUACGGAGGGGGCUAGCGUUGUUCGGAAUUACUGGGCGUAAAGCGCACGUAGGCGGUCUUUUUAAGUCAGAGGUGAAAGCCCGGGGCUCAACCCCGGAAUUGCCUUUGAGACUGGAAAGCUAGAACACGGGGAGAGGUGAGUGGAAUUCCGAGUGUAGAGGUGAAAUUCGUAGAUAUUCGGAAGAACACCAGUGGCGAAGGCGGCUCACUGGACCGUUGUUGACGCUGAGGUGCGAAAGCGUGGGAGCAAACAGGAUUAGAUA
rnacentral:rRNA from 1 species